rnacentral:lncRNA from 1 species
GCAAUUCUCAUACUAGAAUUCAUUUUCAUAAAAACGCUAAAUAUCAUUCCUAAGGGUCAAUAAGGAAUCGCAUCACUUGCCAAAUUUAUAGAACAAUACUUUUAUUUUUUGACUUAUAUAGCUUUAAUAGAUAAUCAGAUUCCUCUUUAAAGGAGAAAACAAACUUGUUCAAAAACAAAUCCUCAGUAUAAGUAAAGGGUAUAACUAAGCUUGCAUCCUUGUUUCUUAAACCUUUCAUCAGAAGAUAUUGCAGAACUAAGGCCCUUGGAAUGAUCCUUUUCUGCAAACUAUAACUUCAAACAAGUGGCUUUUUAGUAAUUGCCAAGGAAUUCCAACCCAAUUGAUUAACCCAAAAACUCAUCACCAAAUUAAUCUUAUCAAUUGAAACCAACAUAACACCAGGAUGUGACCUAAAUGCAUGAGAAACAACUUCAUCAGACCAACCCCAUUUCUUGAAGGUAUCAACUUUCUCAUCCCAAAGUUUUUCACUCAUACCUUUCUUGGCCAUCAAAGCUAUCCCAAAAUUAAUCACUGAAGAACAAUACUUUUAAAUUAUGAGUUAUGAGUAAAAUGUUUAUAAUAUUUCUUUUAGAUUCAAGGAGGCAUCUCACAACUUCUAAAUU